CUGAAACAUCUAAGUACCCCGAGGAAAAGAAAUCAACCGAGAUUCCCCCAGUAGCGGCGAGCGAACGGGGAGCAGCCCAGAGCCUGAAUCAGUAUGUGUGUUAGUGGAAGCGUCUGGAAAGGCGCGCGAUACAGGGUGACAGCCCCGUACACAAAAAUGCACAUGCUGUGAGCUCGAUGAGUAGGGCGGGACACGUGGUAUCCUGUCUGAAUAUGGGGGGACCAUCCUCCAAGGCUAAAUACUCCUGACUGACCGAUAGUGAACCAGUACCGUGAGGGAAAGGCGAAAAGAACCCCGGCGAGGGGAGUGAAAAAGAACCUGAAACCGUGU
rnacentral:rRNA from 1 species